rnacentral:rRNA from 1 species
UACGUAGGGUGCAAGCGUUGUCCGGAAUUAUUGGGCGUAAAGAGCUCGUAGGCGGUUUGUCGCGUCUGCUGUGAAAACUCGGGGCUUAACUCCGGGCCUGCAGUGGGUACGGGCAGACUAGAGUGCGGUAGGGGAGACUGGAAUUCCUGGUGUAGCGGUGAAAUGCGCAGAUAUCAGGAGGAACACCGGUGGCGAAGGCGCCACUCUGGGCCGGUACUGACGCUCAUGCACGAAAGCGUGGGGAGCAAACAGG